CACCUUUCAAUUGGAUACAUCCAACGAUAGAAAACCGGCCCACCAAUUAUUGCUUCACGAGGGAGAUGAAUGACAAGGUGCACCAUAAUAGUGAAGAAGGAAGGUGGAAAGAUCUUCUCCAAAUUGCAUAAUGUCAAAGCGGCUCGAUCUUGUACUUUUUCAAGUUCUUCAACAUUCAGAACUUUGCCACAAAUUGCUUUCAUUAUAUUGGACAGUUCAAUUAUACAGGACGUUACCUUCUUUGACAUACAGCACCGUAAAGCAACUGGAAGUAGAU
rnacentral:lncRNA from 1 species